rnacentral:rRNA from 1 species
UACGAAGGGGGCUAGCGUUGUUCGGAAUUACUGGGCGUAAAGCGCGCGCAGGCGGUUCUCCAAGUCAGUGGUGAAAGCCCGGAGCUCAACUCCGGAACUGCCAUUGAAACUGUUGAACUUGAGGACGAGAGAGGUGAGUGGAAUUCCCAGUGUAGAGGUGAAAUUCGUAGAUAUUGGGAAGAACACCGGUGGCGAAGGCGGCGACCUGGUCCGACACUGACGCUGAGGCGCGAAAGCGUGGGGAGCAAACAGG